rnacentral:rRNA from 1 species
UCCUACGGGAGGCAGCAGUGGGGAAUUUUGGACAAUGGGCGAAAGCCUGAUCCAGCAAUGCCGCGUGUGUGAAGAAGGCCUUCGGGUUGUAAAGCACUUUUGUCCGGAAAGAAAUCCUUGACUCUAAUACAGUCGGGGGAUGACGGUACCGGAAGAAUAAGCACCGGCUAACUACGUGCCAGCAGCCGCGGUAAUACGUAGGG